GACGAACGCUGGCGGCGUGCCUAACACAUGCAAGUCGAACGGAGUGAUGAUUUUGGUUAUCACUUAGUGGCGAACGGGUGAGUAACGCGUGAGAAACCUGCCUUUCAGUGGGGGACAACAGUUGGAAACGACUGCUAAUACCGCAUGACACAUUCGGGCGGCAUCGCCUGGAUGUCAAAGAUUUUAUCGCUGAAAGAUGGCCUCGCGUCUGAUUAGAUAGUUGGCGGGGUAACGCCCACCAAGUCGACGAUCAGUAGCCGGACUGAGAGGUUGACCGGCCACAUUGGGACUGAGAUACGGCCCAG
rnacentral:rRNA from 1 species